rnacentral:rRNA from 1 species
GUGGAUUAGAUACCCUGGUAGUCCACGCCCUAAACUAUGUCAACUAGUUGUUGGAAGAGUCAAAUCUUUCAGUAACGCAGCUAACGCGUGAAGUUGACCGCCUGGGGAGUACGGUCGCAAGAUUAAAACUCAAAGGAAUUGACGGGGACCCGCACAAGCGGUGGAUGAUGUGGAUUAAUUCGAUGCAACGCGAAAAACCUUACCUACCCUUGACAUGCCAGGAACCUGAGUGAAAGCUUGGGGUGCUCGAAAGAGAACCUGGACACAGGUGCUGCAUGGCCGUCGACAACU